UACGAAGGGGGCUAGCGUUGUUCGGAAUUACUGGGCGUAAAGCGUGCGCAGGCGGCUUUCCAAGUCAGUGGUGAAAGCCCGGAGCUCAACUCCGGAAAUGCCAUUGAAACUGUGAAGCUUGAGAACGAGAGAGGUGAGUGGAAUUCCCAGUGUAGAGGUGAAAUUCGUAGAUAUUGGGAAGAACACCAGUGGCGAAGGCGGACUCACUGGCUCGUAACUGACGCUCAUGCACGACAGCGUGGGGAUCAAACAGG
rnacentral:rRNA from 1 species